GCUCAUAAGAUCCUUAAGCUACAGAAACUUUUAUGGGAAUGAGAGUUCACCGUUAGAAGCGAUCCGUGAGCUGGGUUGAGACCGCUAAAAGCAGGUCGUUCCCAAAGGAUCGCAAGGGCUUGAAUCUUCAU
rnacentral:rRNA from 11 species